rnacentral:tRNA from 1 species
ACCUGGCUGGCUCAGUCAAUGGAGCAUGAAACUCUUAAUCUCAGGGUUGUGGUUUCAAGCCCCACACUGGGUG